UACGUAGGCAGCGAGCGUUGUUCGGAGUUACUGGGCGUAAAGGGUGUGUAGGCGGUUGUUUUAAGUUUGGUGUGAAAUCUCCCGGCUCAACUGGGAGGGUGCGCCGAAUACUGAAUGACUAGAGUGCGGGAGAGGAAAGUGGAAUUCCUGGUGUAGCGGUGAAAUGCGUAGAUAUCAGGAGGAACACCGGUGGUGUAGACGGCUUUCUGGACCGUAACUGACGCUGAAACACGAAAGCGUGGGUAGCAAACAGG
rnacentral:rRNA from 1 species